rnacentral:rRNA from 1 species
AGGCCUGCUCAAUGAAAUUUAAAUGGCCGCAGUAUAAUGACUGUGCUAAGGUAGCAUAAUAAUUUGCCUUUUAAUUGGGGGCUGGGAUGAAAGGUUUUAUGGAAAAUAGCUGUUUUAAAAUAAAUAAUUGAAUUUAAGUUUUGCAUAAAAACUUGCAAGCACUCUUAAGGGACGAGAAGACCCUGUGGAUUUUUAUUUGUUAAAAAGUAAAUUUUAUAAUAUUUUAUUUUUUAUUCAAAUUUGGUUGGGAUGACAGUGAAAUUAACUUUAUUAAAAAGAUAAUAUAGAUCCUUGUUAAGGAAAAAAGAAUAAAUUACCCCAGGGAUAACAGCGUAAUACUUUUGGACAGGACAAAUGGAUAAAAGUGUUUGCGACCUCGAUGUUGAAUUAAAAUGUCUUUAUUAAGCAUAAAUAAUAAAAGUAAGUCUGUUCGACUU